UACCAGUUCUCCGAGUGGUAGGGAUGAUUAUAGGGCUUAAAGCGUCCGUAGCCGGCUUAGCAAGUCUCCUGUUAAACUCAGCGACCUAAUCGUUGAUCCGCGGGAGAUACUACUAGGCUAGGAGGCGGGAGAGGUCGACGGUACUUCCGGGGUAGGGGUGAAAUCCUAUAAUCCCGGGAGGACCACCAGUGGCGAAGGCUGUCGACUAGAACGCGCUCGACGGUGAGGGACGAAAGCUGGGGGAGCGAACCGGGAUUAGAUACCCGGGUAGUCCCAGCUGUAAACGAUGCGGGCUAGGUGUUGGGGUGGCUACGUGCCACUUCAGUGCCGCAGGGAAGCCAUUAAGCCUGCCGCCUGGGGAGUACGGCCGCAAGGCUGAAACUUAAAGGAAUUGGCGGGGGAGCACCACAAGGCGUGAAGCUUGCGGUUC
rnacentral:rRNA from 1 species